UACGUAGGGGGCGAGCGUUAUCCGGAAUUACUGGGCGUAAAGCGCACGCAGGCGGUUUGCCAAGUUUGGUGUGACAGUUGUCGGCUCAACCGACAAAGGACUUCAAAAACUGGUGAACUUGAGGACGAGAGAGGAACAUGGAACUCCAGGUGUAGUAGUGAAAUGCGUAGAUAUCUGGAAGAACACCGAAGGCGAAGGCAGUGUCCUGGGUGGUCGCUGACGCUGAGAGGCGAAAGCCAGGGGAGCGAACGGG
rnacentral:rRNA from 1 species